AAUCGCGUCCAUCUGUGACGUAAACCGAUGACGUCAUAGGUCACGCGAGCGUGAGGAGAGACAGCACACGUUUGUAUUCACUUUGAAAGUGAGCUCUAAGACAAACUAACACAAGGUUUACUCCAACAAAACAAGUACUGUCAGAUCCCUCCCGCUGACAUCAUCAAGGUUGAUUCCGGCAAUGGUCAUCACACUCUCAAUCGACUCAUAUUUCCAAAGUAAGGCUCGAUGAUCAUCUCAUCAGGGAACGACGCCCGCUGCCAUCAGUUUUUCCAGGUAGCUCGCAGAGGAGCCAUGGCACAAAUUCCACCUGGUCAUUCCUACCACUGCUGUGUCAAAAGCAGGAGGUUGAAGAACUGGAGGCUGGCUUAAAUAGUCCUCCCCCACCCCCCUCGUCCUCAAGGCCCGCUAAAAAGUUGAGUGUACACUGUGAUUCAUUGCAGUAUGAGAGAUGUAUCAAGAGUCUUCUUCGCCAGGCUGUGAGUUAAAGCGUUGUGUGCCGUCAUCCUGGUUGAAGCGUUAAGAUCCUGUACUGACACCACAGACAAGACCGGGUUCCAAAUCCUAAACUGAAUGUCUGCUCCCACAAAGAAGAGGCCACCAUCCCUGAGCCAUCAUGAAUGUCUUCCAAGUGAGGUGGGGCUCUUGUUAUGAGGGGACAAGAUUGGCACUAAAUGCUGUGUAAGAAAAUACUGAUUUGUCAUCCUCCUAAUCGGUACUGUCCACACACACACAAACCAAUCAGUCACAAUACAUAGCCAUUCAUCAAGCCAUGUCAAAUCGUAUGAUCACAUGGCUUGCUUAUUUAUUCCCUGUCUUCAAAUUUUCCUCAAUACCGCAUAAUACAGUAUCAUACAACAAUCCCACCAACAAAGGCAGGCAACAGCAAAAAAAACCAAAACAACACAAUUCACUUUUGUUUGGAUCAGCUAGUGCCACAUUCAAACAAUUCAAACGAUCUGUAUUGUAAAAAUCUAAAGCGAAUCAUUGGAAAGGGAGAAAACAUUGACCUUGUGAAAGUGCCUCGCUCAGCACUAUAUACCAGCUAGUGAUAGAGAAUGGUGGGUGAAAACCAAGUGCCAAGCUGGAGGUGUCAGCACUCUGACUGCAGCAUGGAUUGCCCUUGCCAUCUGCUGCCCCUAAUGUAAUCCAUGCGAGGGCUAAUUCAGUUGUCCCCUUUCCAUAGCAAAAUUAUGUCAGAUCAGUUUGAACAGUAUAGAACGGGUUAUUGCGCAUGUUGGCAAGAUUUGCGGAUAUACUGUCGUUUUAAAAUACAAACAAUUCCUUCUGAAUUUUGUCAAGUCAUGACCUCCAGAAUUGAUGCAUUUUGUACAUUUUGAAGUGUGGUUGUAUUCAGUCAUUACUUGCAA